GUGCCCGCAGAGGCAGCACAUAUACUAAAACUAGAACAAUACAGGGAAGACUAGCAUGGCCCCUGCACAAGAUGCCAGGCAAAUUCAUGAAGCAUUCUGGAUUUUA